rnacentral:rRNA from 1 species
AGUGAACGCUGGCGGUAGGCCUAACACAUGCAAGUCGAACGGCAGCACAGUAAGCGCUUGCUCUUACGAGUGGCGAGUGGCGGACGGGUGAGGAAUACAUCGGAAUCUACUUUUUCGUGGGGGAUAACGUAGGGAAACUUCCGCUAAUACCUCAUACGACUUACGGGUGAAAGCAGGGGAUCUUCAGACCUUGCCCGAAUUCAUGAGCCGAUGCCGGUUUAGUUAGUUGGCGGGGAAAAGGCCCACCAAGGCGACGAUCCGUAGCUGGUCUGAGAGGAUGAUCAGCCACACUGGAACUGAGACACGGUCCAGACUCCUACGGGAGGCAGAAGUGGGGAAUAUUGGACAAGGGGCGCAAGCCUGAUCCGGACAUACCGCGUAGGUGAAGAAGGCCUUCGGGUUGUAAAGCCCUUUUGUUGGGAAAGAAAAGCAGCAGGUUAAUACCCCGCUGUUCUGACGGUACCCAAAGAAUAAGCACCGGCUAACUUCGUG